AGGACGAACGCUGGCGGCGUGCUUAACACAUGCAAGUCGAGCGGAAAGGCCCUUCGGGGUACUCGAGCGGCGAACGGGUGAGUAACACGUGAGCAACCUGCCCCUGGCUCUGGGAUAGCCUCCGGAAACGGGGAUUAAUACCGGACAUGACCCUUGACCGCAUGGUUGGGGGUGGAAAGUUUUUCGGCCAGGGUGGGGCUCGCGGCCUAUCAGCUUGUUGGGGGGGUGACGGCCCACCAAGGCGACGACGGGUAGCCGGCCUGAGAGGGCGACCGGCCACACUGGGGCUGAGACACGGCCCAGACUCCUACGGGAGGCAGCAGUGGGGAAUAUUGGACAAUGGGGGAAACCCUGAUCCAGCGACGCCGCGUGUGUGAAGAAGGCCUGCGGGUUGAAAGCACUUUUAGUGGGGAUGAAAAGUUCAGGGCUAAUACCUCUGGAUCUUGACCUAACCCAAAGAAAAGCACCGGCUAACUCUGUGCCAGCAGCCGC
rnacentral:rRNA from 1 species